GCUACUGAAAGCAGCCACCCUCAACCAGAAGCACUGGACUUAGGAAAGUUUGAAACCAAAGAAUCUCCAGCUCUUAGAGCCACAGAGCACUUGGCAAGAAACAGGCUUCUCAGCAGACUACCAUCAAGUGUAGAAGCAGACAAUUCAGGCACAAUAACCAUUUAUUCAAAGAUGCCAUCUAAUGCACUAUGCCACUAAGUACUGUGGCUGGACAGUGAUUUUAAGUGUAACAAAUUAUCUUCACUUUGAAAAGAGCUUAAGAGAGAGAAAACAAAUAUUACAUCUUAAACAGAGGCAUGAAUCAAACCAACUUAUGAACGGUGAAAGCAACUUAUCAAAAUGUCUUCGGACAUAUCAAGACUGACUUAAACCAUGUUCUGUGCCCUUUCUUUGUUGAGAAGAUAAACUGGAAAAUGCAAGCUAUUGUCCUUUGCCAAGGAUCGAAGAUCAAAA
rnacentral:lncRNA from 1 species